rnacentral:rRNA from 1 species
UGGGGAAUUUUGGACAAUGGGCGAAAGCCUGAUCCAGCAAUGCCGCGUGUGUGAAGAAGGCCUUCGGGUUGUAAAGCACUUUUGUCCGGAAAGAAAUGGCCCUGGUUAAUACCUGGGGUCGAUGACGGUACCGGAAGAAUAAGGACCGGCUAACUACGUGCCAGCAGCCGCGGUAAUACGUAGGGUCCAAGCGUUAAUCGGAAUUACUGGUCGUAAAGCGUGCGCAGGCGGUUGUGCAAGACCGAUGUGAAAUCCCCGAGCUUAACUUGGUAAUUGCAUUGUUGACUGCACGGCUAGAGUGUGUCAGAGGGGGGUAGAUUUCCACGUGUAGCAGUGAAAUGCGUAGAGAUGUGGAGGAAUACCGAUGGCGAAGGCAGCCCCCUGGGAUAACACUGACGCUCAUGCACGAAAGCGUGGGGAGCAAACAGG